CUGGGAGGUCAUGGCAGAAAAUUAAUGUAGAAAAUGAGGAACAGAGAGAAAGAAAGGAAAAUAUGGAGCUACUUGAAAAUAUUGAGGUUAUUGUGUCAGUACAGGAAUUAGCCUUUGUGUGAUAAGAAGGAGGACAAACUUUGUAAUGCCUGGGAGGUCAUGGCAGAAAAUUAAUGUAGAAAAUGAGAAACAGAGAGAGAGAAAGGAAAAUAUGGAACUACUAGAAAAUAUUGAGGUUAUUGUGUCAGUACAGGAAUUAGCCUUUGUGUGAUAAGAAGGAGGACAAACUUUGUAAUGCCUGGGAGGUCAUGGCAGAAAAUUAAUGUAGAAAAUGAGAAACAGAGAGAAAGAAAGGAAAAUAUGGAGCUACUUGAAAAUAUUGAGGUUAUUGUGUCAGUACAGGAAUUAGCCUUUGUGUGAUAAGAAGGAGGACUUAAAGUUUCGUGACAGCAGAUGAAAUAUAUAUAAUGAUUAGGAGAAACAUAGAAAAUAAUAUAUAUACUACUACUGCUAUUAUCAAGGAAGGAGGAUAUUUCGCUUAUUAUUUUGAUGUGUAGGCUUUCGUAUGAUAAAGAGAACGCGUUAAACUUUCUAAUACAAGGAAAUUCGAGACAGUAAAUGGAAUAGAUAUGAUGAUAAGGCUGCUGCUACUACUACUACUACUACUAUUACUACUGCUAUCAAGAAAGCACUUUAUAUAGGUCAUUCUUUGUACAGAGAUUCAAAUAGACAGUUAAUUGAUAGAUAUGAGAUAGACUGCCAGAAAAAAAUAGAUAGAAGAUAGACAAAGCAGAUCGAUAAUGAUAAGUAAAUGUAUAGCUAUUGACCACGUGAU